UUUUCAGUCCCAGGAUCCUUAGCUUAGUGAUGAGCUUGGAGGGCACUAUGGUGUUGAAUGCUGAGCUGUAGUCAAUGAACAGCAUUUCCACAUAAGUUUUCCUCUUGUCCAUGUGGGAGAGCAGUGUGGAGUGCAAUAGAGAUUGUGUCAUCUGUGGAUCUGUUGGGUCAGUAUGCGAAUUGGAGUGGGUCCAGGGUGUCUGGGAUGAUGGUGUUGAUGUAAGCCAUGACCAGCCUUUCAAGCAUUUCAUGGCUAGAGAUGUGAGUGCUACAGGGUGAUAGUCAUUUUGACAGGUAACCUUGGUGUUCUAUGGUGGUCUGCUUGAAACAUGUAGGUAUUACAGACUGGGAGAGGUUGAAAAUGAAAACACUUGCCAGCUGGUCAGCACAUGCUCUGAGUACACAUCCUGGUAAUCUGGCUGGCAUUCGGCCUUGUGAAGGUUAACCUGUUUAAAGGUCUUACUCACAUCGGCUACGAAGUGAGUGAUCACACAGUGUUGCUUGCCUCAAAUUAAGCAUAGCUUGUCUGGUAGGCUCUGAUCACAGGGCAGCUUGCGGAUGGGUUUCCAUUUGUAAUCUGUGGUAGUUUGCAAACCCUGCCACAUCCGAUGAGCAUCAGAGCUGGUGUAGUAGGAUUUGAUUUUAGUCCUGUAUUGACACUAUGCCUGUCUGAUGUUUUGUCGGAGGGCUUAGCGUGAUUUCUUAUAAGCGUCGGGAUUAGUGUCCCACUCAUUUUGAGUGCUUUUGCCGGGACUAAGGAAAUGGCCAGCAAGAUGUUCUCCCUCCAGUGCCAAUUUUUAAGCAACCUUGAGGAGCACGAAGGAGGGGAGCAUAGCUUGAAAUGGACUGACCCAAGCCUGCACUAUAUAUGUGUUGUGGUCAGGGGGGGAAGUAGAGGUGAGUGAAUGACACUUUCCAUCAUGUGUUUUCCAUCCAGAGGUCAUAAACAGUCAUGUUAUUAACACAAACCUGUACUGUUGUCUUAUGUGUUUCAUGAAAUUAGUGCAUCUACUAUGUCAGCUCCAUCCCACAGACACUCUACAGCCCGCAGCAUAUCUCACGCAACGUGCAGUCACUCUCCCCCUGCCUGUAGGCCCUCUCCUCCAGCACCCAGUCGCCAUCCACCUGCCAGCAGGCCCUCUCCAGCACGCAGGCCCUCUCCCCCUGCCAGCAGGCCCUCUCCAGCACGCAGGCCCUCUCCCCCUGAGGAAGAGGGUGGGGCCAUGCGCCUUCUCCGAUCAACUCUUCUGCCAGUUAUCAGAAGAACUGACCCCACCGUGCACACUGGCAGAGGUGGAUGAUGAGGAGUUGCGUGCAAUCUAUAUGGGUUUAAAGAGGGUCUAAUGACCCUUGGUGUCCUCGAUACGUUACAGUCCAGCACCGCCGCAAUGAGGAACGAAGAGGAGUUAGUGGUGGGCUUCUGGAAGGACUGGCUGAUCGAUGUCGAAGAACAGCCAAAACAGCAUCAUCACGGACAGCAGAAGUCUUCGCAUCGACCAUUCUGGAAUCACGCCCCGAGAAGACACUUGUUUUUCCUUAUGUCUUGAAGAUAUGUUGUAUCAUGUGAUUACACUAAGAGAUGUGCCACUCUCAAUGUCAUUGUUGUGUCACUAAGAUAUCCUGGCAUUUCCAACCUGUAGUGCGUGAUCUUUGAAAUCUUAGAAACAGGAUAUAAAAAAAUGAAUUUGUUAUUCCACAAAGAAAUAUGGGGUAUGUUCAACCCAUCAUUUUACAAUAAUGAAGGAGUUCAGCACUGAUUAUGUCAGUGUGGUUAUGUUGACCCAUAUACCCACACUGCAGACAAUAAUGUUUUUGCUAGGUCAUUUGUCUGCUUGGAGGGGAAUAUGUCUGCCAAGUGAAUGUUGCUAAAGUAAGAAAUAUUGAUGCCGUUUAUCUUUAAGGAAGGGAGUCGAUCAGUUUAUCACCAGCCUCCUGUCCCUACACCCUUUACAGAACUGUUAUGUAACGGUCGUAAAUUGUUGCAUUUAGUCCUUGUUAUUGCUAGAAGGGAUACAUUUGAAGUUUACUGAGUUAGAUCAAAUGGUACAACGUUUAUAAUGAAUGUAAACCACUAUGGAAUUUAUGCAUCUCCACAGAAGUGAUAUUUCCUUUUGCCGUAGCUCUUUGCCUUGGCUUUUGUUGUUAAGCAGGACAAUUUUUAGCUCUGUUGUUGUAUCUUUUUGAGGAGUUAAAGUUUGCAAAAGUAAAAAAAGUUGGAACAAACAUUGAAGUACUAUUACAAAAAGGUAACAUGUAUGCAGUAAGAUGUUUCCUUUGGUUUUUGUUCAUACCACAAAAAGGUCACUAUUACAGUUGUAAUGUUGUAAACCUACUGUAAUCCAGUCCUUGUAUUUGUACAGAAAUACUCAAAUUGCAUGUUUCACUAGGGACAUAUAAUUGUGCUUGGAAGCCCUGUGAACAACCAUUGUAAUGCCAGCAUACCCAGAGUAUUUCAACUAAAGUAUGUCAGACCUCAGUUCUUAUAAGCAUAAGUAAUCUAACGUAAAGAGGGAUGUUACAACAGUGAGGAAUGAUAUUCAAUGCACAAAUGUGAAGAGAGCUACAUUUCUAGGACAUAGCUGAGGGAAGCCAAUUCUUUGUCAGAUUGGUGCCAGAGCUGACAUGUCCACUAAUCCCGAGCAGGAUCAAUCUAAUCCCAGAGAAUGAGUUCACGCCCUUGACAGAGCACUAGAAAACACACCAACCCUCCUGAAUUGUCAGAGUACUGAACAAGGAUGCUGUACUGUUAUCUUACCACUGUUUCUGCCCCCCCACCUCUAGUUGUCUUUCUCUUCCCUCGGAUUCCCUGUAGAGAGGAGGGGAGGGAGGGAGAGAGGCAGCAGCUGGCAAAUGUAAUCCAUUCCCAUGUUAGGGUCAUCGCUGCACUGAGGGUAGCUACGUGUUCUACUGAAUGCAUCAUCCUCCACCCAGGUCACCGCUACAUUAUCCACUGUAUUAUGUUUUGCCACUUUACCUUUUACACUUUGACAAUCUAUUUGAUCUCUUUCUCUCCAACUGAUGUCUGCUGAGUUCUCUGGCUCUAAAUGGUAUUACAUAUUACCCAGGUGGGCGCUACGCAUUGGUGGUGAAAACGGAGAGUUUAUGCUGCAUGCGACGUAAAAGCCCUUUGAGCACCUGGUGAAAGACCCGUAUGUAAAUCCAGUCCAUUAUUGACUGAAUUUUUAGGAAGUGUAACUCCAAGAUGCACUAAAACACCACCACUUGGCCUACCGGUAUAUUGAGCUAAAUUACAGAAAAGCAUUUAUUUGAAUAAUUCAGUUUUGUUUAGUGGCUAUUAUUAGACCAUGCUUCUUGAAUUUCUUUUUCUUUUUUUUACAGAAAAUUGCUUCUGAAAGGAAACACUGGCUAAACCUUUUACUGGUGAGAGAAUUUCAAAAUUGUUGAUAAAGGCCUGUGUGUGACUGUCAGAUUAUUUAUGGCAGGGGUACUCAAGUACUAUUUAAGAAGGUCCGGUCACACAAAUUUCCUAGGUUGCAAAAAGGUGUCAAUUAUCGGCAUAGUAACAACCCCCCCCACCUCACAAUUCAUGCGACCCGAAACUUCACACCCCUCGUUGGCGAAUAAAACAUUUUGCAGUUGUAAAGCUAAUUUCCGGUAAUCGACACAUCUGUGUUGAUUUGAUACCAGGGGUCGAAGCUCUACCGAGUUCAAUAUUGACCCCGUUCUGGGUCCGCGCUCCGUAUUGACCCCGUUCUGGGUCCACACGGGCGGCCAGUUGAGUAUGGGUGGGAUUUAUGGUAGAUCUGAUUUAGUUUAUUAUUUAUUUAUUUGUUUGGAGGCCGCAAAACACUCCGAGGCCCAUUCUUUGCCCUCUUUCACGCAACCGAGCAAUGCUCGGAUGUAAAAAAAUACAUAAAAAAAAAGAUCCAAUACAAAUGGAUUUACUCCCUUCACAGCAGAAAUAAGUGCCUCAUUGAAUUGUUUUCCAAACAAGGAUACUGAUUCCUCAUCUCAUAGAGCAUCAUUAUUUUAAUAGGAGCCUUGCUUGGGAGAGAUAGUGGUGGAGGAGUUGUUGUGAUGGCCAAAUAUCAACCGAACACGUGCUAUGAUUAGUACAAGUUUUAAUAACUGGCUAGAAUAAUUUACCAAACUAAAAAUUGUUAGCUGACAUGGGUAAUUGAGUGACUGACACAAUAAACUGCUGAUGCACAACCACAUUUUGAACUUGCACCUCGUGUACCAUUCUAACUUAACGGUCGGGGCCCCCAUAGCAUGACAUAAAAUAAUUCUCAUGUCCAACAGCUGACUUUACCAUUGUCCUUAAUAGGGUUGGGUGGAUUGGAAAUCAAUCAGGAAUCUAAAAAUCCUUGUUGGGGGGG